GAUCAAUUGACACCUGCUCUCACAGCACCCGCCAUGCGCUCUUUUGUGUGGUACAUCUUGGCGCAGCUGAUUCGUCUGCCUCUUGUAACACUUGCGCCUCCUACCCCUGUGUCUGCGGUCUCCUCUGUUAUUCGGUUUGACACCGCAAAUCAGAGCCCUUACAUGGCCCAGCCUUCCCUGGUCUGAUAAUUGACGUGUACAUAUAUGCGUCACGACACCAACUUCGCGCAUGCACGUUCUGGUGUCACGUGACAGCCACUAACCAAUAACUGCCCUCUUAUGACUAAAUAAGCUCCCAAUGGUUAUUUCUCUGUGCCCUAUCAUGGUUUAUUUAGUGAAUAUCCAAGAGCGUGUUUCGCAUUAAUGGUAUUAAAUCCCACUAUAGUUAGGAAGUUCUGACACGUCCUAGCAUUGUUAAAAUGUUAACAGGCAAGGAAAUGAGGGGUGUAAAUGAAUACAGCCAAGGACCAGCUCUGAACAGUAGACGGAGAGGAUGUGUCUAAGGAGGAGUGUAG